rnacentral:rRNA from 1 species
GACGAACGCUGGCGGCGUGCCUAAUACAUGCAAGUCGAGCGGACUUGAUGAAGUGCUUGCACUUCUGAUGGUUAGCGGCGGACGGGUGAGUAACACGUAGGUAACCUGCCUAUAAGACUGGGAUAACAUUCGGAAACGAAUGCUAAUACCGGAUACGCGAAUUGGUCGCAUGGCCGAAUCGGGAAAGACGGAGCAAUCUGUCACUUAUAGAUGGACCUGCGGCGCAUUAGCUAGUUGGUGAGGUAACGGCUCACCAAGGCGACGAUGCGUAGCCGACCUGAGAGGGUGAUCGGCCACACUGGGACUGAGACACGGCCCAGACUCCUACGGGAGGCAGCAGUAGGGAAUCUUCCGCAAUGGACGUAAGUCUGACGGAGCAACGCCGCGUGAGUGAUGAAGGUUUUCGGAUCGUAAAGCUCUGUUGCCAGGGAGGAACGCUUGGGGGAGUAACUGCUCUCAAGGUGACGGUACCUGAGAAGAAAGCCCCGGCUAACUACGUGCCAGCCGCCGCCGUAA